GCUCAGGACGAACGCUGGCGGCGUGCUUAACACAUGCAAGUCGAGCGGUAAGGCCUUUCGGGGUACACGAGCGGCGAACGGGUGAGUAACACGUGGGUGAUCUGCCCUGCACUUCGGGAUAAGCCUGGGAAACUGGGUCUAAUACCGGAUAUGACCUCCUAUCGCAUGGUGGGUGGUGGAAAGAUUUAUCGGUGCAGGAUGGGCCCGCGGCCUAUCAGCUUGUUGGUGGGGUAAUGGCCUACCAAGGCGACGACGGGUAGCCGACCUGAGAGGGUGACCGGCCACACUGGGACUGAGACACGGCCCAGACUCCUACGGGAGGCAGCAGUGGGGAAUAUUGCACAAUGGGCGAAAGCCUGAUGCAGCGACGCCGCGUGAGGGAUGACGGCCUUCGGGUUGUAAACCUCUUUCAGCAGGGACGAAGCGCAAGUGACGUAC
rnacentral:rRNA from 1 species